rnacentral:rRNA from 1 species
GGGGUGAGUAAUGUCUGGGAAACUGCCUGAUGGAGGGGGAGUAACUACUGGAAACGGUAGCUAAUACCGCAUAACGUCGCAAGACCAAAGAGGGGGACCUUCGGGCCUCUUGCCAUCAGAUGUGCCCAGAUGGGAUUAGCUAGUAGGUGGGGUAACGGCUCACCUAGGCGACAAUCCCUAGCUGGUCUGAGAGGAUGACCAGCCACACUGGAACUGAGACACGGUCCAGACUCCUACGGGAGGCAGCAUG